rnacentral:rRNA from 1 species
CCUACGGGUGGCUGCAGUGGGGAAUAUUGGACAAUGGGGGCAACCCUGAUCCAGCCAUGCCGCGUGUGUGAAGAAGGCCCUCGGGUUGUAAAGCACUUUCAGUGAGGAAGAACGCCUGGUGGUUAAUACCCAUCAGGAAAGACAUCACUCACAGAAGAAGCACCGGCUAACUCCGUGCCAGCAGCCGCGGUAAUACGGAGGGUGCGAGCGUUAAUCGGAAUUACUGGGCGUAAAGCGCGCGUAGGUGGCUUGAUAAGCCGGUUGUGAAAGCCCCGGGCUCAACCUGGGAACGGCAUCCGGAACUGUCAAGCUAGAGUGCAGGAGAGGAAGGUAGAAUUCCCGGUGUAGCGGUGAAAUGCGUAGAGAUCGGGAGGAAUACCAGUAGCGAAGGCGGCCUUCUGGACUGACACUGACACUGAGGUGCGAAAGCGUGGGUAGCAAACAGGAUUAGAUACCCGAGUAGUC